CGAACGCUGGCGGCGUGCCUAACACAUGCAAGUCGAGCGAGAACGCCUCCUUCGGGAGGUUAGUAAAGCGGCGAACGGGUGAGUAACACGUGAGCGAUCUACCCGACGGCGGGGGAUAACCCAGGGAAACCUGAGCUAAUACCGCAUACAGCACCGGCUUGGAAGCCGGAUGUGAAAGCUGGCCUCUCGAAGAAGCUGGCACCAUCGGAUGAGCUCGCGGCCUAUCAGCUAGUUGGUGGGGUAACGGCCUACCAAGGCGAUGACGGGUAGCUGGCGUGAGAGCGUGGCCAGCCACACUGGGACUGAGACACGGCCCAGACUCCUACGGGAGGCAGCAGUGGGGAAUAUUGCGCAAUGGGCGAAAGCCUGACGCAGCGACGCCGCGUGGGGGAGGAAGGCCUCAGGGUCGUAAACCCCUGUCAGGUGGGACGAACCACUGAUCGGUCAAUACCCGGUCAGUCUGACGGUACCACCAGAGGAAGCUCCGGCUAACUCC
rnacentral:rRNA from 1 species